UACGAAGGGGGCUAGCGUUGCUCGGAAUUACUGGGCGUAAAGCGCACGUAGGCGGCUUUCUAAGUCGGAGGUGAAAUCCUGGAGCUCAACUCCAGAACUGCCUUCGAUACUGGAGAGCUCGAGUCCGGGAGAGGUGAGUGGAACUGCGAGUGUAGAGGUGAAAUGUGUAGAGAUCGGGAGGAACACCGGUGGCGAAGGCGGGUCUCUGGGCAAUUCCUGACGCUGAGGCGCGAAAGCGUGGGGAGCAAACGGG
rnacentral:rRNA from 1 species